rnacentral:rRNA from 1 species
GAUGAACGCUAGCUACAGGCUUAACACAUGCAAGUCGAGGGGCAGCAUGGUCUUAGCUUGCUAAGGCCGAUGGCGACCGGCGCACGGGUGAGUAACGCGUAUCCAACCUGCCUUACACUCUUGGACAGCCUUCUGAAAGGGAGAUUAAUACAAGAUGUUAUCAUGAGUAAGCAUUUUCGCAUGAUUAAAGGUUUACCGGUGUAAGAUGGGGAUGCGUUCCAUUAGAUAGUAGGCGGGGUAACGGCCCACCUAGUCUUCGAUGGAUAGGGGUUCUGAGAGGAAGGUCCCCCACAUUGGAACUGAGACACGGUCCAAACUCCUACGGGAGGCAGCAGUGAGGAAUAUUGGUCAAUGGACGAGAGUCUGAACCAGCCAAGUAGCGUGAAGGAUGAAGGUUCUAUGGAUUGUAAACCUCUUUUAUACGGGAAUAACGGAUCCACGUGUGGAUUUUUGCAUGUACCGUAUGAAUAAGGAUCGGCUAACUCCGUGCCAGCA